UACGUAGGGUGCAAGCGUUAAUCGGAAUUACUGGGCGUAAAGCGUGCGCAGGCGGUGAUGUAAGACAGAUGUGAAAUCCCCGGGCUCAACCUGGGAACUGCAUUUGUGACUGCAUCGCUGGAGUACGGCAGAGGGGGAUGGAAUUCCGCGUGUAGCAGUGAAAUGCGUAGAUAUGCGGAGGAACACCGAUGGCGAAGGCAAUCCCCUGGGCCUGCACUGACGCUCAUGCACGACCGCGUGGGGAGCGAACCGG
rnacentral:rRNA from 1 species